rnacentral:rRNA from 1 species
CAGUAGCCGCGGUAAUACGAAGGGGGCUAGCGUUGUUCGGAAUUACUGGGCGUAAAGGGCGCGUAGGCGGCCAUUCAAGUUAGAUGUGAAAGCCCUGGGCUCAACCUAGGAAUUGCAUUUGAUACUGUUUGGCUUGAGUUCGGGAGAGGUGAGUGGAAUUCCCAGUGUAAAGGUGAAAUUCGUAGAUAUUGGGAAGAACACCAGUGGCGAAGGCGGCUCACUGGACCGACACUGACGCUGAGGCGCGAAAGCGUGGGGAGCAAACAGGAUUAGAUACCCCGGUAGUCCCUGUCUCUUAUAC